GAGCGGCCGUAGCAAUACGGCAGCGGCAGACGGGAGAGUAACACGUGGGAACGCGCCCUUCGGUUCGGAAUAACUCAGGGAAACUUGGGCUAAUACCGGAUACGCCCUUACGGGGAAAGAUUUAUCGCCGAAGGAACGGCCCGCGUCCGAUUAGCUUGUUGGUGAGGUAACGGCUCACCAAGGCGACGAUCGGUAGCUGGUCUGAGAGGAUGAUCAGCCUCACUGGGACUGAGACACGGCCCAGACUCCUACGGGAGGCAGCAGUGGGGAAUAUUGGACAAUGGGCGCAAGCCUGAUCCAGCCAUGCCGCGUGGGUGAUGAAGGCCUUAGGGUUGUAAAGCCCUUUCGGCGGGGAAGAUAAUGACGGUACCCGCAGAAGAAGCCCCGGCUAACUUCGUG
rnacentral:rRNA from 1 species